CAUCAGGCUCAGUUCAAAGCCGUUCGAAGUGGAGAGGAAAGCUUAUCUGGAUAAUUUGAAAUCCCAGGGGACUCGUAGAUACCACUGUCUGAUGAAUGAUGUUCUUAACAGGAGAUUAUAGCUGCCACAAGUGUGCUCUGCAGCUGGCUCAGGACCUGGACUUCACUUCUGACCAUAAAGAUGUGCUUAGGCGGCCAAUAGAGACACAGACGCACUGUGUUCAGGAGGAGUGGAAUAAUGUCAAAAUGUCAGGGGCUGAGUGCCCUUCAGUUUCAAUUGAGUGUACCGUACAGCCCCUUGCACACGAUCAACACUACACUGCACUAGACGCAAGGUGGGAAUGUAGUUUUACUUCUUGUGUGUAGAUAUGACAUUUGAAGAAUAAAAGAGGAAAUGAUGAAUUCCAUUUAAAAAGCUA